rnacentral:rRNA from 1 species
GAUCAUGGCUCAGGAUGAACGCUGGCGGCGUGCCUAACACAUGCAAGUCGAACGAAGCACUUUUGUAUUAAUCUUCGGAGGAAGACGAUAGUGACUGAGUGGCGGACGGGUGAGUAACGCGUGGGUAACCUGCCUCAUACAGGGGGAUAACAGUUAGAAAUGACUGCUAAUACCGCAUAAGACCACGGAGUCGCAUGACUCAGUGGGAAAAACUCCGGUGGUAUGAGAUGGACCCGCGU